CUAACUUCUCCCCACCCUAUCGACCCCCCUUUCACACGCACAAAAUCACAUAACAAACGAGUUGCUCCUCUCUCCUUCAAUGGGUUUCUCCUCGUACGAGCUUCUUCUUCUCCUUUCCUCACUCACAGCGCCACCGCCACCACCCUAACCACCGCAGCUACCUUCUCCUUCUUCUCCUCUCUUUUAAACACUGAACCAGUGAGCUCCAGCACGCCGGCGCCACCUGUAGCAGCGUCUGUCCCCACCACUGCGCCUCUCCCUCUCCUUUUAUCCCCACUCAGUUCUGGCUCGCAUAUCUUCUCAGCGCCAUAGCCAUCAUCUCCUCCAGUCAAUGCUUCCAGUGUGAUAGUGAUCCUUCUACUUGGAGCUACAUCAAUGAUCAUGUUCAUUUUCAUAUAGGACAGUGGUAUGCUUAACUUGGGAUAUAUGAUGUGGCUGUCAAGUAUAUGAUGGAAAUCUUGGCCUACAGUCACCAGUCCAAGGCAACACAGGAAUUAUUUCUUAGUGACUUUCUUCAAACUGUGAAGGUUGGGGAUGUAGGACCCAUUCUUGAUUUGAUGGCUGUGGUUUUAGAGAAUAUUUCUACUUCUACCCUCCUAGCCAGAACAACAAUUUCUGAUGUCUAUCAAACCGCAAAAUUAAUCAGUUCUGUCCCUAAUGUGUCAUAUCAGAAGAAGACAAGCAUUCCUACAUAGACUGGAAAUAACAUUUCUACCUAUUCAGCUUUAUUCGUUUAUCUAAAGACAUAGGGUGUUUUCUGGACUUAUCCAGGCUUUCCCUGAUGCCUUGUUCCAUCAAUUGCUUGUGGCCAUGGCUCAUCCGGAUGUGAAACACAAAUUGGAGCACAUAGUGUCUUCUCUAUGGUGCUUAUGCCAUCAAUGAUUUCUCCUUAGUUGGACCAGAAAACAAAGAUGUCUAUGAAGGUACAGAGUAAUAGCUUCCACAUUCAGCAUGAUAGUUUCUCUGAAGCAGAACACUUAAAUGGGAAACUGCUAGAAGGAAACACGGUUGCAGGAGUUACUGGGGAUAAAAAUGCUGUUCAUCCAUAUCGUGGUUAUAGCUUUACUCGUGCACUAACUGAUGGAAAAGAUGGUUGGCAUAAAGCCUCCAAGUUCCAAUUUAUUUUGCAUAUAUAUUGGUUACCAUAAAGCCUCCAAGUUCCAAUUUAUUAUGAAAUGCAAUUAGCUAUUUCAGCAACUUAAAAAGAAUAUUUCAAGUUGGUGUCAAACUGGAGCCUGCAUUUAGUGGCAGUGGCAAUAAUUUUGACAGCAAAAUUUAUCUUUAUAGAAAUGGAAAAAAAAAUGCCAUUCAUAGCCUUUUAACUAAUCCCGUUAGCUUUAAAAUCUAUUUAUCCAAAUUUGUUUUCAUAUUUUAAUUAAUUUUUAUAAUUUAAUGGUGAUAUGAAUUGCUUUGUCAGGCAUCCAAUUACAGGAUUUUGGCAUUUGUAAAUGUUUCUAAUUUAAAUUGUAUGCUUUUCUUUCUGUCAGUGGGCUUGUUAUCUGUAUUUUAUUGUUUCUAAUUACUUCAGAGAUUUAAAACAAAACACCUUUUCCAUAAAUAAAAUUAAAAAUAAAUACUCGUUAUUUGCAGGAUUUGACGCUUACUCUGUCAACAUUUCUACCUGUAGUUUCUAUAAAUAAUGACAGCAAAGAUCAAUCAGAUUUCUCAAUUAGACUUAAGAUGUAUAAUGAGGUGCAACGUUGCUUUCUCACAGUUGGCUUGGUGUAUCCAGAUGAUUUGUUUCUGUUUCUUGUAAAUGUUAUUUGAAGCUUGACAUAGUAAAAUACCUCUACUUGUUGAAGCUGUAAAGUCCUUGCUAGAGGAGCCGAGUUUAGGUGUUCGGAAAGUACUUUCUGAGUUAAUUGUGGUUAUGGCUUCACAUUGUUACUUGGUUAGUUCAUCUGGAGAGUUGUUCAUUGAGUAUCUUGUACGGCACUGUGCUUUAACUGACAAUAAUCGCGGUGAUCUUGACAUCCUGAAUAAGAGAGUGGAGGUUUGCUUAUACUUUAAUUUGCACUGGUAUUUUCAUGUGUGUGGUAACAUGUCUAGGACAUAUGGCAGCAGGUAGCAUGAAUGGAGAGAUCAAGCACUCCCAAGCUGCUCAUGUUACCAACUUGUGGAGGGACUUCUCCAGUGAGUUGAUUGUGGAAAAGAUCAAGUGCUUCUAAUUUCAACAGAUUCCCAAGAAAAGCUGAAAUUUCACUUGAGAGAUUGUUGUAUCUGAGGUCUAAAUUGAUCUGGAAAUUUUGGAGCUUUUCAAUUUUUGUUUUAGUAUGGAAAAUAACAGCUUUUAGUAUGGUUGAUAGUUCUAGUAUGGUUGAAUAAUACAUUGAGGAUUAUAGUUGAUGUAUCAAUACAUUUUGUUUAUAUUUUGAAUUAUAUUGACUUGUUUGUUUAUUA